CUUGCUCAAUAUGGAUUCAGACAGAACAAAAACUGCUAAAAGCAGCCUCUUCUGGCAUACAAAUGAACCUUCUAAGGAACCUUCGUCCCGAAUACGAGAGGGAUUGAUCUUUGGUGAAAAUCUUCGCAUCUGAUGAGCUUGUUAAAACUUGUUUAGGGCCCUUGAUAUAGGCCAAAGAUAGCCUAUAAGAUACAAGUUGCCAUUACUUUUAAAAGUCUAAUCGAAGUUAACAGUAUGGAGCUACAUAUCUGCACUGUUUAGUAAAUACCAAUCACUAAAUUCUGAGUAAAUAAAGAAGGAUUUGUCCUUUAUGAAGAUAUCGAGGUGCUAUUGCAAGUUGUAUAGUUUAAGAAGGCAAAACCUUCUGUUUUUCUAAGGUCUUUUAACAGCUCCAUGGCUUGUUAUUACUUGUUAGUCCUCCUUAUCCUUAUUGUUUCCGGUGCACCUGUGGAAGUUCAUGGCAAACUCUCAUCAAACUACUACAGCUCCACUUGCCCUGAAGUAAUGUCUAUUGUUGAAGCACGAGUAAGAGCUGCCGUUAAAAAGGGACCCUCAUGGCGGCAUCUAUGCUCCGGUUGCAUUUCCAUGACUGCUUUGUUAAUCUGAGGCCGCGGUGGAUCGAUUCUGUUGGAUGAUAAUGCCACCUUUAUGCGUGAGAAGACUGCAGCACCUAACGAUAAAUCUGUCAAGGGAUUUGAUGUGGUUGAUGACAUUAACGCUAAAGUGGAGAAAGCAUGCCCUGAAGUGGUAUCCUGCGCUGAUAUUCUUGCCAUUGCAGCUCGCGAUUCUGACUGUCAGGGUAAGUCCAACAAUUAAGUCUAUCUACAAAAGCACAAACCUUAUCAGCAAGUUGCUGAUUUCUUGUUACAGUCUAGGCAGUUGGCUCGGUUGGGUAGCAGUUGUUUCAUCAUCUAUAUUAAUGCCUUUUUAUGAUUUUCAGUUAGGGGGUUCUUCAUGAAAAGUUAAGCUAGGGAGAAGGGAUUCUACCACUGCUAGCAGGGCUGCUGCAGACAACUCAAUUCCUGGACCCAAUUUCAAUGUUAGUGCUCUCCCAUUGAGCUACGCUGCUCAAGGACUCUCAUUAAAAGACUUGGUGGCUUUUUCAGGUUCACACACUAUUGGCCUGCCCAGGUGCAUAACAUUUCAAACACACAUCUACAAUGACUCGAA
rnacentral:sRNA from 1 species